rnacentral:lncRNA from 1 species
UUCUUCUGUUUAUUAUUAUUAUUAUUAUUAUUAUUCUUUUUCCGCCAAACUUUGACAAAUUUAGCCGCGUUAACCGUAAGACGUGUCGCUUUCAUGUUGACACUUUGUAUCGGUGUCAUGAAUACCUAUCUGGAACUCACCCUGUUAGUCGAAAUAUUUUGUCGGUUCGGAGUUAUCCCUCCGAAACCCAAAAACCUUGUUAUCGUUCCAACACCGUAACCGUAAUAGGUAGAAAAAAAACAAAGGGUGAAAUUUGUU